GCCUGGGUAGCUCAGUCGGUUAAGCGUCUGACUUCGGCUCAGGUCACUAUCUCACAGUUUGUGAGUUCAAGCCCCGCGUCAGGCU
rnacentral:tRNA from 1 species